rnacentral:lncRNA from 1 species
AAUAAGCUGGUGACAGUUUGAGCCUUUGAGGGUAUAACUCAUGUAGCAUUCAUAUAUCUUAUGUUGUGUGAAUUUCUCGUGGUAUCUUUAAUAUUGCUACCGUUGCCUCUAUCAGACUGUAAAAUUUUGGGAUUCUGGACUAGUUUGUGUUUGUUUUAGAAUCCAUGGAGCCUCCUAAUCUCAUUUCUAUCACAUUGCAAGAUCUGCAUGGGAACCUUGAGACAGAACAACUCAAAGGCGAGGGACAAAGAGCUGUUUCUUGAAUUAAGAGGGAAAUGAUGAGUUGUUACUACUAUGCUUUGUGGUAUUGAUGGCUUCUGCUUCCUUCUUCUAAUUGCAGGCCUACAUAUUACAGGUUUGUUCGUUGUCGCUGAAACUCUUGACAAUGCAGGGCCAUGUUCCAUUUUAAUGAGGGAUGAUGUUAUCUUGUUUUCUCAUCAAAGGCGCAGGAUACAUUGGUGAAGAUGGUAUGAGUUGUAAAGUUGUUGCGAAUUGUUGUUCCAUCGCCCGCUUCUUCUGUGUCGAUGUAGGUAUGGUGUUCCUUAUAGUUUCUUGAAUUUUUUGUAUUGAAAUUGUUGAUCUUGUAUAUCAAAGUUGGUGAGGAUUCAUCUAAACAGCAUUCUUUUUGUCAAUGUAUAUGGGGUUUGUAUUUUUGCUUGUUUUGUUUUGAUUGCUCAUAAUUCAUCUCUAGAAUAGUGUUGUAUCCCGCUCGAUGCACGACAUGAAUAUCUUUAUA